rnacentral:rRNA from 1 species
UACGUAGGCAGCAAGCGUUGUUCGGAGUUACUGGGCGUAAAGGGUGUGUAGGCGGUUUUUAAGUUUGGUGUGAAAUCUCCCGGCUCAACUGGGAGGUGCGCCGAAUACUGAAAGACUAGAGUGCGGGAGAGGAAAGUGGAAUUCCUGGUGUAGCGGUGAAAUGCGUAGAUAUCAGGAGGAACACCGGUGGUGUAGACGGCUUUCUGGACCGUAACUGACGCUGAGACACGAAAGCGUGGGUAGCAAACAGG